AAACUUGAAGAUGAGCUGGUGUCUUACAUCCUCGCCGGGUUGGACCUCGAGUUCAAUCCGGUUGUCUCCUGUGUUGCUGCACAGGUGGAACCCAUCUUGGUGGGUGAGCUGUACACCCAACUUGUCAACUUUGAGC
rnacentral:snoRNA from 1 species